GUCGAACGAAGCACUCUAUUUGAUUUUCUUCGGAGAUGAAGAUUUUGUGACUGAGUGGCGGACGGGUGAGUAACGCGUGGGUAACCUGCCUCAUACAGGGGGAUAACAGUUGGAAACGACUGCUAAUACCGCAUAAGCGCACAGGAUUGCAUGAUCCGGUGUGAAAAACUCCGGUGGUAUGAGAUGGACCCGCGUCUGAUUAGCCAGUUGGCAGGGUAACGGCCUACCAAAGCGACGAUCAGUAGCCGACCUGAGAGGGUGACCGGCCACAUUGGGACUGAGACACGGCCCAAACUCCUACGGGAGGCAGCAGUGGGGAAUAUUGCACAAUGGGGGAAACCCUGAUGCAGCGACGCCGCGUGAGCGAAGAAGUAUUUCGGUAUGUAAAGCUCUAUCAGCAGGGAAGAAGAAUGACGGUACCUGACUAAGAAGCACCGGCUAAAUACGUGCCAGCAGCCGCGGUAAUACGUAUGGUGCAAGCGUUAUCCGGAUUUACUGGGUGUAAAGGGAGCGCAGGCGGUGCGGCAAGUCUGAUGUGAAAGCCCGGGGCUCAACCCCGGUACUGCAUUGGAAACUGUCGUACUAGAGUGUCGGAGGGGUAAGUGGAAUUCCUAGUGUAGCGGUGAAAUGCGUAGAUAUUAGGAGGAACACCAGUGGCGAAGGCGGCUUACUGGACGAUAACUGACGCUGAGGCUCGAAAGCGUGGGGAGCAAACAGGAUUAGAUACCCUGGUAGUCCACGCCGUAAACGAUGAUUACUAGGUGUGGGGGGACUGA
rnacentral:rRNA from 1 species